ACCUGGUUGGCUAAAUUGGUAGAGCAUGUGACUCUUGAUCUCAGGGUUGUGAGUUCAAGCCCCACAUUGGAUG
rnacentral:tRNA from 1 species